UUAAAGAUUGUACUUUAUGCAAGAUCAUUAGGAUAACCUAAGAAUAGACCCUCAGAACAAGAACAAUUAUCAACACAGAAGACGACUAGAGGGGAAAACUGGGUGGUCUUGUGGAACCAAGCCCCCAACCUGUGGAAUCCAACACUAUCUCUGGAUAGACAGUUUCAGAACUGAACUGUGGACACGCAGCUGGUGUCUGCUGCAGUCGCAAGUCUGGGCCUCCAGAACUUCUGACCAAUAGUCUUCAAGUUGGGGUUCCUACAACCUCCUCUUUGGGUUUAAUUUGCUGGAGCGGCUCACAGAACUCAAGGAAACACUUACUUUGGCUGACUGAUUUAUCAUGAAGGAUAUUUAAAAGCAUACAAAUAAACAAGCAGAUGAAGAGAUACAGACGGCAAGGUCUGGAAGGGUCCCAAGCACAGGAACUUCUGUCCUUGUGGGCUUAGGGUGUGCCACCCUCCUGGCAGGUGGAUGAGUUGUUCUUUACCUUUCUGCCAGCCUCCACGUGCUAAGCUCUCUGGAAGCUUCCCAAACCCUGUCCUUUAAGCCUUUCAUGGAGACUUCAUAGGUUAUCUAUGAUUGAAGCAUGGAUAAUGGUGUCAAAAUGUGAUUGGACAAGAAGUGUAUGAUGUAAACCCAGCAACGCCUAUCUGUUUAGAUCCUUCUUGGUCUCUCUGUGCAACAUUCCUUCCUCCAGAGUAUGGGGCAGGACCCUCUGUGCAAUGAGGGUCUUAUGACCCACAAGCAGAUUAGAGUCUUGCCUUGAGUGGGUGAAAGGAGGACAAGAGAAGGUCAGACAGAUUUUGUUUCCUGAAGCCUGCUUCUGAGGCCUAAAGUACCCGAGGAUUAUAAUAAAAGACUGUAACUCCCUGUUAUGGGAGUUCUUAUCUAGGAACUAUGGACAAAACCAUAUAUAUGUAUAUGGUUAUAUAGCGAUCUAUAUAAUAUAUUGUGAUCUGUAUAUAACAUAUAAUCAUAAUAUCACAUAUCAAAAGAGACUUUGCAGAUAUGAUUAAGUCAGAUAUCUUGAGAUGGGAAGAUUAUCCUAGAUUAUCUAGUUGGCAUGAUGUAAUCGCAAUGAUCUUUUUAAGAGAGAUGCAGGAGGAGUCAGAGUCAGAGGAGAGGGUAAUGUAAUGAUAUAAGUAGAGAGUAGAGUCCCACCCUUUGAAGAUAGAGAAAGGAGCCAUAAGCCAAGGAAUACAAGAAGCUGAAGAAGGCAAGGAAACAGAUUCUCCCCUCACAGCCUUCAGAAGGAAGCAGACCCGCUAAUACAUUAACCUUAACCCGCUGAAUCUGAUUUUGGACUUCAGACCUCCAGAACUGUAAGAGAAUAAACAUGUUUUGUUUUAAGCCACUAAGUUUGUGCUGAUUUGUUAUAGAGGUUACGGGAAGGUAACACAGAGACAUCACACACAGCCCCACUCACUAGAUUAAGAUACUAUUUAAUUUUACUAUGGUUGUAUUACAAAUGAUCACAAAUGCUAUGACUGAAAACAAUACAUAUGUAUUAUCUCCGUUUUUGUAGGUCAGGAAUUCAGGCACAAGUUAGCAGGGUCUGCUGUUCAGGUCUCACCAAGCUGUGAUCAAGCUGUUGUCUGGGGCUGGAGUAUCAUCUGUGGCUUAGGAUUCUCUUUUAAGCCAUACUUAUUAGCAGAUUGCAUCUUCUUCAAGCUGUAGAAGUUAUGGUGUUUUGGGGAGAGGGUCUCUGGCUUCUUUAUCUUUGACCUCUAGAUGAUCUGUUUAAAGGGCUCAUCUGAUUAAGUCAGACCCACUCAGAAUAAUGUCUCUUUUAAUUAAUUCAAAAGUCAACUGGUUUGGGACCAUAAUUUCAUCUUCAAAAUCUUUUCACCUUUGCCAUAUAACAUAACCUAAUCACAGAUAUCCCAUUCUAUUCAUAGAUCCCACCAACACUUAAGGGGAGGGAAUUAUACUGGGUGUGUACAUCAGGGGGUGGAAAUAUAGGGGACCAUAUCUUAGAGUUUUGCCUAAGUUUUGACAUUUUGCCUAAAAUGUCAUUUAUUAUAUGUAAUGUACCAUUUUAAUGUUUUCAGAGAUAUUAAUAUGUGUAUAUUUAACUUCCACAGGACUCGUUAAAACUCAUUCACCAUUUCCAUUUUUUCCAUAAAGUCUUAGGAUCUUAAACUAAAAUUCUCAUCCUUCUAGAGUUUGCAGAAAAUCUAAUGGAGAAAAUUAUUUUUC
rnacentral:lncRNA from 10 species